UAGCAAGAAAAGAAGGACAUGAAGAAGAACAAAAAAAACAAGAACAUGAAGAAAAAAAAGAGGUGUUAAGCAUAGGAGGGAAGAGGAGGAAGAAGAAGAGAAGAAGGAACAGGAAGAAGAGGAGGAGGAGAAGGAAGAAGAGGACGAUUAGGAGGACACAUUCUUCUCUAAUUCACAUCCCCUUCCUCCGCCAGAACAUCGUGUAGGAGGCUGAGCGAACUGGAGGCAAGCGACUGUGAUAGUUACCGAGCUUCGAACAACUAAACGCCCGUCCCUCCUUCCUCUCAAUGUAAGGUUGUGGCUUCAUGAGUGGUCUGGCGCGUCGGUGGUGUCAAGCCGGGUGUAGUGUGACGAGUAUACGGAGACGGGCGUGAAGGUUGCAAGUUACGCGUGACUCGCCGUUGAUGACAUUCGCGGCUGAUGUGACUUACCGCGGCAUCGAUUAACAGAGGUCGUGGCUUUCGAGGGGCUGUGCUGUGGACGACAAAGACUACUACAUUCCCCAGGUGUCAACAGUCUUCGGAGUUCUUUCUGCCUCAACUAAUCUUCGGCGUCCGCAAUGGUGUCCAUCGACGGAGUUCUUUCUGCCUCAAC